UGUGAGCUCGAUGAGUAGGGCGGGACACGUGGUAUCCUGUCUGAAUAUGGGGGGACCAUCCUCCAAGGCUAAAUACUCCUGACUGACCGAUAGUGAACCAGUACCGUGAGGGAAAGGCGAAAAGAACCCCGGCGAGGGGAGUGAAAAAGAACCUGAAACCGUGUACGUACAAGCAGUGGGAGCACGCUUAGGCGUGUGACUGCGUACCUUUUGUAUAAUGGGUCAGCGACUUAUAUUCUGUAGCAAGGUUAACCGAAUAGGGGAGCCGAAGGGAAACCGAGUCUUAACUGGGCGUUAAGUUGCAGGGUAUAGACCCGAAACCCGGUGAUCUAGCCAUGGGCAGGUUGAAGGUUGGGUAACACUAACUGGAGGACCGAACCGACUAAUGUUGAAAAAUUAGCGGAUGACUUGUGGCUGGGGGUGAAAGGCCAAUCAAACCGGGAGAUAGCUGGUUCUCCCCGAAAGCUAUUUAGGUAGCGCCUCGUGAAUUCAUCUCCGGGGGUAGAGCACUGUUUCGGCAAGGGGG
rnacentral:rRNA from 1 species